AUUGAACGCUGGCGGAAUGCUUUACACAUGCAAGUCGAGCGGCAGCACGGGGGCAACCCUGGUGGCGAGCGGCGAACGGGUGAGUAAUACAUCGGAACAUGCCCAGUCGUGGGGGAUAACACUUCGAAAGAAGUGCUAAUACCGCAUACGUCCUGAGGGGGAAAGCGGGGGAUCGCAAGACCUCGCGCGAUUGGAGUGGCCGAUGUCAGAUUAGCUAGUUGGUGGGGUAAAGGCCUACCAAGGCAACGUUCUGUAGCUGGUCUGAGAGGAUGAUCAGCCACACUAGAAGUGAAAAACGGCACAGACUCCUACGGGAGGCAGGAGUGGGGAAGUUUGGACAAGGGGGGCAAGCCUGAUCCAGCCAUUCCGAGUGAGUGAAGAUGGCCUUCGAGUUGUAAAGCGCUUUCGCCGGGAACGAAACGGUUAGCUCUAACAUAGCUAGCUAAUGGCGGUACCUGAAGAGGAAGCACCGGCUAGCUACGGG
rnacentral:rRNA from 1 species